CUUCAUUUAACAUCCACUUUCUAAACACAACCGUACCUCGGUUUACAUGGCUUGCACUGUAACAAGGCUCCAUUUUCUGUUCUGGAACAUUUGCAAAUACGUUCUGGAAAGAUGUGUAAUGGAACACAGACACUGUUCUGAAACAGUGCCUGGCAAGUAUAUAGUGAAGUAAGUAUAUACUGUAAAAUUUAGAUUGGGCAUAUACAUCGUCGAAAUACCUGUUUGUUUAGUCAGAGCAAU